CAUGCACUGGUGGGGUCCCUCAGCCUGGCCUGCUCCCUCUCGUAAUCCAAGACCCUUGGGGGUUGUUGGAGAGCUGGUUUCGGCCCAAUCCUGCAGGCCAGGCUGAGGGACCCCACUGGUGCAUG
rfam:Myotis brandtii contig187306, whole genome shotgun sequence.